GGUCCUUUGGCCCAAUGGUAAGGCGUCUGACUACGACCACCUUGGUAAUCAGGAGAUUCUGGGUUCGACCCCCAGGAGGACCU